rnacentral:misc_RNA from 1 species
ACAAACUUGGUCAUUUAGAGGAAGUAAAAGUCGUAACAAGGUCUCCGUUGGUGAACCAGCGGAGGGAUCAUUACCGAGUUUACAACUCCCAAACCCCUAUGUGAACGUUACCAAACUGUUGCCUCGGCGGGUCUCAACGCCCCGGGCGCGUCGCAGCCCCGGACCAAGGCGCCCGCCGGAGGACCAACCAAAAACUCUCCUUUGAAAUGCCCCCUCGCGGGCUCUUGAAAUCUGAACAAACAAAAAACAAAUGAAUCAAAACUUUCAACAACGGAUCUCUUGGUUCUGGCAUCGAUGAAGAACGCAGC